AUUGAACGCUGGCGGCAGGCUUAACACAUGCAAGUCGAGCGGUAGCACAAGAGAGCUUGCUCUCUGUGUGACGAGCGGCGGACGGGUGAGUAAUGUCUGGGAAACUGCCUGAUGGAGGGGGAUAACUACUGGAAACGGUAGCUAAUACCGCAUAACGUCGCAAGACCAAAGAGGGGGACCUUCGGGCCUCUUGCCAUCAGAUGUGCCCAGAUGGGAUUAGCUUGUAGGUGGGGUAAUGGCUCACCUAGGCGACGAUCCCUAGCUGGUCUGAGAGGAUGACCAGCCACACUGGAACGGAGACACGGUCCAGACUCCUACGGGACGCAGCAGAGGGGAAUAUUGCACAGUGGGCGGAAGCCUGAUGCAGCCAUGCCGCGUGUGUGAAGGAGGCCUUCCGGUUGUAAAGCACUUUUAGCGAGGAGGAAGGUGGUGAACUUAAUACGUUCAUUAAUUGACGUUACUCGGAGAAGAAGCACCGGCUAACUCCGUG
rnacentral:rRNA from 1 species